rnacentral:rRNA from 1 species
CGCGUAGGCGGGGGGUAAGCGGGCGGUGAAAGCUCGGGGCUCAACUCCGAGUCGGCCGUGCGAACUGCCCCACUUGAGCACAGUAGAGGCAGAUGGAAUUCCGGGUGUAGCGGUGGAAUGCGUAGAGAUCCGGAAGAACACCGGUGGCGAAGGCGGUCUGCUGGGCUGUGGCUGACGCUGAGGCGCGACAGCGUGGGGAGCAAACA